rnacentral:lncRNA from 10 species
CAUUCUUUUGUCAAAAAGUGUGUAUAUGUUUGCAUUUACAUAUAUUUGUACAUCUAUAUGACAGAUGUAUUUUAAAAGUUUCAACUUGAAGUAAAAGUACAACAGCUUGAAGUAUUGAUACCAGGCCACAGCCCUCUAACUCAUGUGAUCUCCCAUGCAUGCUGCCAGAAUAAAACCACCAGGAAUGAAUUCACUCCCCACUUCUCUGGAACCUCAGGACCCGCCCAUUUCUCGGCAGUACUGUGAAUUUUGAAGUUAAACUAAAUUUUGGUACCAUACCAACUGGAAUUUAGGCUUUAAAAAUAAUGUUUCAAGGCCAGGUGUGGUGAUUCAUGCCUGAAAUCCCACUACUUUGGGAGGCUGAGGCUGGAGAAUCGUUUGAGGCUAGUGAGCUGUGAUUGUACCACUGCACUCCAGCUCGGGGAACAGAGCGAG